GCAUAGUUCAGUGGCAGAGCAUCUGCUUUGCAUGCAGAAGGUCCCAGGUUUGAUCUCCAGUAAGGACU